GAUGAACGCUGGCGGCGUGCCUAAUACAUGCAAGUCGAACGAAACUUCUUUAUCACCGAGUGCUUGCGCUCACCGAUAAAGAGUUGAGUGGCGAACGGGUGGGUAACACGUGGGCAACCUGCCCAAAAGAGGGGGAUAACACUUGGAAACAGGUGCUAAUACCGCAUAACCAUAGUUACCGCAUGGUAACUAUGUAAAAGGUGGCUAUACUACCGCUUUUGGAUGGGCCCGCGGCGCAUUAGCUAGUUGGUAGGGUAAAGGCUUACCAAGGCAAUGAUGCGUAGCCGAAUUGAGAGGUUGAUCGGCCACAUUGGGACUGAGACACGGCCCAAACUCCUACGGGAGGCAGCAGUAGGGAAUCUUCCACAAUGGGCGAAAGCCUGAUGGAGCAACGCCGCGUGGGUGAAGAAGGUCUUCGGAUCGUAAAACCCUGUUGUUAGAGAAGAAAGUGCGUGAGAGUAACUGUUCACGUUUCGACGGUAUCUAACCAGAAAGCCACGGCUAACUACGUG
rnacentral:rRNA from 1 species